rnacentral:lncRNA from 10 species
UGUAAACUUUAAACAAACCAGGUGAUAAAGACACCUUCGUCUUAUUAUUUGUCAGAGCUAUUUAUGAUAUUUGUGAAAAUGAGUUCUGAAUCCCAUAUUGGUUUUUUUCUUUUUUAGCCUCAAUAUAUUACCACAUUAAGAAUCCCAUAUUGUUCUUAAUAAAUUUACAAAUGUAGUCAGAAGCAUUCAAAAUAUGUAUUGUUAUAUGGAGGAAUUACAAUGACUCAGCAGGAUUUGUGAAAUCAGCUCAGAAUUGUUCUCCAAAGAAUCUUAAAAAAUAUUCCAAAAAAUAUUCCAAAAGCAUUCAAAAGUACUCCAACUCUAACUUCUUUUUUGAACUACUACUGCUAAAUAGAUAACUAGUGAUAACUUGAGACACAUGUAUGUCCUGGAGCUUCUCUUUUACAUACUGUAGUUAUUCUAAUUAUGUCUAGUUACCUAGUUAGUAUGGGUUAUCUUGUUAUCUCUACUUGUCAGUAGUUCUUACUAGUUAUAUGAACAAGAAAUAAGCUGUAGUUAACAGAAAUGUAUGGUUGAGGGUCUUUGCUUAACCCUUACCCUUGACUUUGAUCUUGGGCAUGAACUUCAACCUUAGACUUCGAGGUUCAACAUGAGAGUGAGAGACAGGCUCAGGUGAUGGUACCAGAGUGAGCGUCACACAGUCAGGGCGAUGAUCCGUAUCUGCAUCAUCAGGAGGAUUGGAGUAAGGAUGAGUGUCAGGGUCAGCGGCUGUGAAAGGAGGAGGGGAGUCAGACUCAGAGUGAGAUUGAGGGUCAAGGUCAGAGUCAGAAAGGGGUGAAUGUGAGGGUGAAUGUCAGGGCCAGAUUGAAAGUGAGAGUGAUGGUCAGAUUGAGGUGAUGAAGUGAGAAUGGGGGCUAGGGUGAGGGUGAGGUUGAGAAUUAGGGUGAUGAUCAAGGUUGGGGUUUGGGAGAGAGCAGGCUGAGUGUUUGGUUCAGGUCGGAAUCAAGGUGAGGAUGAGAGUCGGGGUCACAGAGAUGUUAAGGAUGUGAUUUAGAAGCCAAAUGUCCUGGUGCAUGCCUGUAAUCCCAACUACUCAGGAGGCUGAGGAUUGCUUGAGUCCAACAAUUAGAGGCCAGCCUGGGCAAUGGAGCGAGACCCUGUCUUCAAAAAGGGAGGGGAUUGUGAUUUAGGGUAAAGGUGGGGCCAGAGUGAUGCUGUGAGGGUCAGAGUCACUGUUAAUGUCAGGCUGAGGGUGAGGGUUAGUGUUUGAUUUAGGAUCAGAGUAGGUCCCAGUGAGGAUUAAAGUCAGAGUGAGAGCAAGUGCACAGUGAGUGUGAGCGUGGGCAUGAGAGUGAGAUCAAGGUCAGUGUCAAAGUAAGAGUCCAUCUGAGGAAUAAACUCAGAGUGAGGAUGAGUGAGCAGGGUAGGGUCAGGACAACAGUGAUGAUGAGGGUCUGGUUUAGCGUCAAGGGCAAGUGUCAAGAUGAAACUGAGGGUCAGGGUGAAGGUGAGAGUGAGGGAGAGUGAGGUCUAGCUGAGGAUGAAAGGGAGAUUGAGAAAGAGAGAGUCAAGUGCAAUUCAGGUCCAGUGUAUGAGGCUUAGGUCAGGUUUAAGGCAAGGGUUGGGAUAAGGGUUAUGAUCACAUUGAGGGUCAGGUUGAGGAUAAAGGUCAGGCUCAAGGCCAGAAAGUGUUAGGGUAAAGGUGGGCGUGAGGUUCAGGGUCAAGGAGAAGAUGAGAGUGAGUUGACAUUGAGGAUGUCCUUCAUGAUUAGUGUCACUGUCACGGUCAUUACUUUUUGUGACUUACAACAAAUCUGGAUGAACCUAGUCAAUUUAAGUCAGAAUCAUACAUUCAUAUCUAAGGUAACUCACUAUGGUGAAUUCAAUCAGAUGUAUAUGAAAGUAAGCAGAAUACUUGAAAACAGCAAACCAUGCUUCCAACUAAGGUUCAAGUCCAGGUUUGGGAAUAUUUCAAAUGAUAUGUUUCAUUGUGCAUUAGAGCAUAUUUAAAUGAAACCAAGCUGUUUAUGUCAAACGAGCUCAGAAUCUAUCAUUCUUCCUGAAUGAGACUGAGUGCUCCAGAGAAAUAGAAGCAACAGAAUUUGUAUGUGUUUAUGUAUUUGUAUAUGUAUAUGUAUACACACACACAGGUAUAUAUACAAAUAUACACACACAUAUAUACACAUAUACAUAUACCAGGAGAGCCGAUGGUGCAGUUCCAGUCCAAAGGGGCAGCCUGCUGAAGAAUUCCCUCUGGUCUUUUUUUUUUUUCUUUUUUGAGAUAGGGUCUUACUCUGCACUCUGUCACCCAGGCUAGAGUGCAGUGGCAUCAUCAUGGCUCACUGCAGCCUCGACCUCCUGGGCUCAAGCAGUCCUCCCACCUCAGCCUUCCAAGUAACUGGGACUACAGGCACACACCACCAUGCCUGGCUAGUUAUUAAUUUUUUUUUUUUGUAGAGAUGGGGUCC